rnacentral:rRNA from 1 species
GACGAACGCUGGCGGCGUGCUUAACACAUGCAAGUCGAACGGUGAAGCGAGUGUUUGCCCUCGUGGAUCAGUGGCGAACGGGUGAGUAACACGUGAGUAACCUGCUCAUUACUCUGGGAUAAGCACUGGAAACGGUGUCUAAUACUGGAUACGACCAACCCUUGCAUGGGGAGUUGGCGGACAGAUUUAUCGGUGGUGGAUGGACUCGCGGCCUAUCAGCUUGUUGCCGGGGUAAUUGCCCACCAAGGCGACGACGGGUAGCCGGCCUGAGAGGGUGACCGGCCACACUGGGACUGAGACACGGCCCAGACUCCUACGGGAGGCAGCAGUGGGGAAUAUCGCACAAUGGGCGAAAGCCUGAUGCAGCGACGCCGCGUGAGGGAUGACGGCCUUCGGGUUGUAAACCUCUUUCAGCAGGGAAGAAGCGAAAGUGGCGGUACCUGCAGAAGAAGCACCGGCUAACUACGU